UCCACAUUAUCCCUUGAAGCUUUACGGGCGUUAGGUUUUUCGCUUCUGAGCGCAGUGUAACCGUCCAUCUACAAUUGGAAUAUCUGGUUGAAAUAAAAGAAUUAGAAUUUUUAACCUUUUAUUUUAUUCUUUCCGAAGAAAAUCAACUCUCCAUUUGAUCCUUGAUUUCUUACUCUCAUGUUGAAAAAAAUUGAACGAAGAGGAAAAUGAAUCGUGUCGUUUUCCGAGUCUUUAGAGUAGCGCAGACACUCUAUUUAUUGUAACGGUACCCCGGACAGGGGCCGCUCUAGUUAAGCCACCAUCGUCGGUUCCUUUUGACCUAGCCUGUAUCUCUGACAUUUCACCGCUAUCAGUGCGCAUGGGGAUAUGUUCAUUUCACAUGUUGAUAUUGAGUUGAGAAAAUUAAUCAACAAAUCGAAGAUACACACGGAUCGAGUUCAACCCGUUAUCUCCCCGCGGCAGGGAAGAUCAAACCUAAAUAUGAUCAGUAGUUACCCCGUCACCGAAGGAUGUGGAAAUUGCUGCUGAUAGGAAGGUUGCAGCCCUGUUUAGCACUCGCCGUCUAAGCUUUCAGUUUCACAUCCAUCAUCCCCUUCACUUAAUGGAAUGGAGAAUCAGGCCCUGGAAAAGUUUAACAAAAUAACAUGAUUGUAAAUGGAUAUAGAUUAGCAGGGAAGUUGAAUAAAAUCAGGAGCUUGAUUCACCCUUUCUCAUUUUCUUCAAUCAUGAGCUUUUCUUAAUUUGGAUUGAAGUAGCCGUGCCAGGGCUUUAAGACCAUUCAUUCCUUUCGAAGCGGGAAUAGAUAGUAAUC
rnacentral:sRNA from 2 species